rnacentral:lncRNA from 1 species
AAAGCCAUGAAGUCACCCCAAGUUCAAACCCAAAAUGCAAUUUGCAGUGGUUAGAAAUGACAAAGGAUGGGUGGUAGGAUCCAGAGAAAAAACAGUGAAACCCGAUGGACCUUAAAUAGAUCUGAGGGCACUGAUUUGAUUAUUUUGGGUGAAAUCUUUUAAGAAAAUCUUGUCAGAUUCUUCACAGAAAAUUUGGUAAAGCCUAUAUUUCAUCGCCAGCCUAGCAAAGGCAAGCUGGCAAACAGGGAAACAAGGAGAACUGUGUGCUCAGCCCUCCAGAGUGGCACGGAUUAUGAGGAGGUGAUGGUCCUUCCCCGCCAAGAUCCUGAGACACUGUCACUCCGGAAUCCAAAAAGAGAUUCAGAUACCAUGAAAGGAUUUGAGCGUUUUUUUAUGUGAAUCCAAAGAUGACAUUUACAAAAGGUGGAGAAGCAGUUCCCUACUGAGGGACGUGGAUACAAAAAGCAGAUGACACAACACAUCCCAUAGAGUUCCCAGGGAAGAAUGAACCCAGAUUCUUGACCUGCAGAGGUGGCGUACUGGCUGGAGAAAUCUCUGGCUGGCGACCGUGCUAUUCUGUCUGUCCACCUAACUGUGGGCUCCCAGAUCACCACUGCCAUGGGCAGGGGGCCGUGGGGUGGGCCUGCUUGGGGUGACAGGCUAGCUGUGCUCCCAUAGCAGAGGUGGGAGAAGGGAAUCACAUCUGGUGAGCAGCUAUGUCGUGCCAGGCACUGUGCUGUGUAUUGCACACAUCUCAAACCUUGUGACAAAUGUGUAAGAUAUUUUUUAUGUAUUACAAAUGAAGGAACUGGGCUCAGAAAAGCUCCAUUAUUUGCCCAAAUUGCAGCAGUAAUGCAGGAAUUUGAAUCCACAUUAAUCUGACUCCACAACCCAUGUUCUUUCACUGAAUUCCCAUAUCCUUGUUCCCCCUACUGUCCUCACUGGUCAAGGUGAGCUUGGUCUUCCACAAACAGGCUAGAAAAGUAUGCUUACUUAUCUUUAGCUUUAUGCUUUUAAACUAAUUCUUAAAAAUCUUCUCUGGAUAAGUCAAAGACAAUGGGAAUGUGUAUUUCUAAUACAUUAAUUAUAAUACAUUACCGGUUUACACAAUGCCA